AUACAAGAAAUAAAGUUAAAUAAUAUUCCAUUGGAAAAGCUCCAAUUUAUUAUCCAGUUUGACUUUGUAUAGCCAAUGAAAGAUGACAUGAGAGCUUUCCUAUAGGAUAUAAGGCAAGGAGAAUCAUUACCUGUUCUCUGCCAGGAUCCUGAGGCUCUAAUUUAGAGGAAAAUCUUGAGUCCCUGUUUUAACAUCUUCGCUCGAUACAAAGAAUGCUUCUUCCCCUUUUAGCUUUCAUUUGUCCAGCAUAAGAAUGAAGAAAUCUUAUACAAUUGGGCUGAUGUGAAAGAAUACCGUUUUCAGCAGCCAUUUAAACACACAAGAGGGGAUCACCGAAUAAGCUCCACGCUGCUAGAUGAGUACGGAUUUUUUCUGCUUGAGUAAGUAAUACAAACUCUUUAAAGUCAAGCUCAAAAAAUACCUUGCAGUUCUGCCUCUAUGCAUAGCUCUGCCAUAUACCUCACAGUAACAGUAGCACUCUCUCAUGAGGUUUAUAAAAACUAAGCUACUAUAAAUGUAUAAGAAAAAAUAUGUCUCUGACUAUUUCCAGUAAGUAAACAUUUUAGAUGGAACAGUGGCGUUUACUUUGGAGAAUUCAGUGGUAAUAAAUGAGAGCAAAUUCAGGACACUGUAAUGCUUGAGGUGCUGUCUUUUUAUAUAGUUUGCUAAAACCACAAUCUUAUUUGGCCAAAUAUUAUCAGAGUUGAUGCUAACCAAAGGUAAACAUUUAUAACACAGGCUAUAGUUUAUGAAAUUACUGAAGAUUUAAGACAGUUCCUGAAUUAAACCACGGCCAUAAAUCUCCUUUUAAAUAUGUUAUCCUUUAGAUUAAGCAAUCUAGAAGAUGAAAGUAGAAUUUAAUUCCAUAAAAAGGUGACUGUCAGGCUAGAAAACUCUUGAAGCAUCACCUGGACCGAUCUGAGCUUUGAGUAACAGUAAGGCAAAUGUACCGUACAGAAGGAAAGUUUCUACAACAGUCUAAUAGAUAUGGAUGUAGUUUUACUUCAGGUUCUGAUUCUGCUCCUUCUCUUCUGAAAUAUAGAAAUACAGGAUCCUUUGCCUUUUAUAGUUUUGUCUUGAUUAUGAAACCGUGGUUGAAUUAGCUCAAGUUUAGUUAAAAUUAGCUUGUCCUACUCGAACUAUAAUUUGACCUUUUUGUCUAGAGUUGAUGUAGGUUGACAACUUGGAGAAAUACAUCAAAUGGACAAACAAUGUGGUCUUUUACAGAAACCUUUGAGCUUUCCUUGAUGGCGUUCUGUGCUGGUGUGCUGGCUGCCACCCAGCUGUCAGCUAGCCAGGGGUGGUUUAGCCAUACAGCUCUGAACCCCCUUUUCCUGCAGCUGGGCAGGGUUUUAUAGGUUUUAGAGGCUUGGCAUUCAGCUACUAUUUUACAAGUGAUUCAUGCUUGGCACAAGCGUAGCGUGCACAAACAAUUGUUUGGUCACGACACAUUUUGAGCGCAACCCACUUUCUCUGAAGGUAUGCAAAAAUGUUAUCCUGCAGCUGAAUUUAGAGUAGAAAACAAAUCACUUUUACGGUAUGAGGUGAUGUAUAUUAUUAGUAGUGACAAUUUACAGCUGACGAAAGUCCAAAGGAAACGGAAUCAGAGAACCGAACCUCAGGGGAUCUGCUUGGUAAUGGUGUACUGAUGCUACGAGAUUCUCACUUGGCUGAAUUUUCUAUGCAGAGGCAUCAAUGACCAUACUGUGUGUAAGAUUAGUUACUCAGGCUUUGAAAUGCAGUUUUCUUCACUAAACUGCCUUCAGGUUUUUCAAAAUCCUUUAGGUCUCCAUCGGUGUCCAUUUUGGAGACUCGAAGUGACCUGCUCCACAAAAUGGUUUUUGGCAGUGCUAACACACUAAUGUAUGGUUGAAUAGAGGGCACUGCAGAAUUACCUGGACACCUUCUGGUUAACAUUAAGAGUCAACUUCGGAUAAAUGGAACUAAAUUUUGUUUGCAGCUCAUAAUUAAUUGUAUAUAAAAUUGUAAAAGUUGUCCUACCAAACAAUACUGAUAAUUUAUUUGCAAAAGAGACUGCUGCUCUACAAGUUUUCCUUUUUUUUCAUUGGGAUAAAAAUAGAUCAAG